CUAACUUAGUGCAAUGAAAACCCCUAACUACAAAGUUUAUCAGGAACAAAAAGGAACAAAAACAGCCCUGUUUGAUAACAAUGCAAGUUCCAUAGUUUUAAACCAAGAUAGUUAUGUCAGAAACAAAUUCAACAGAUCUAAAACAUGAAUACCAUAAAAUAACGGUGAUGCUCAGAGCAGCAACAACUAUUACUUACCUUAACAGAAUCGGAAUCGACAGAAGCAACAGCGGAACAACGAGAUCGAGCGAAUAUUGGUUGAAUCGGAAUCAGCGGAAGCAACAACGGAACAACGAUAUCGAGUGAAACCAACACCGGAACAAUGAGAUCGAAGAGGGGAAAUAUCUCAGCGGCGGAGACUUACAUGGCGCUUUCUAUUUUUCUUGAUUAUAUGUGUUUUUAUUUUUGGAUACAGAGAAAGAGGGGAACGCUACAGAGAAAGAAGAGAAAGAGGCAUCUAUAUUUUUAAUUUGGGGUUAAACUAAUAUUUAAUGUUGUAAAGGGCAGUAUUCAUAAAUAUGCCAGUUGUGGUAAUUGUGCAAAUAACAUAACUUAAUAUUAUAAUGAUAUAACCUGUUUCACCUGCUAAUACAGGUUAAAACCUCUUUUCCCAUGAUGGGAGACCUACA
rnacentral:lncRNA from 1 species